rnacentral:piRNA from 1 species
UUCAAUGAUCGCAUUCACGAAGUUCCUUCCA